ACGUAGAUCCAAUGUAUCAGUUAAGGAAUAUUGGCCAACCAUGAUCAUUCAUUAGCACCUUAAUUACUUUCUUAAGUUGUGAAUACUAAUUAUUACGUCAUUAUGCUGCCAGUAACCAUUCUCCUACUCUCUUGAUGAGACCAAAUUCAUACCUUUUUAUUUUCCAUUCCUUAUAUAAGGUCAAGGCAAUUAAGCUAUAGUAAUUUCUCUUAACUACCAUUAUUCUAUUUAAUCUAGACCAUUCUAUUAGUUCAUUGCUCAGCCACAUAUAUUGAGGAAAAUAUCAAAAAUCUCUAUUAGAAGCCUCACGCAAAUUUUGAGACUCUCACACCAUUCUCUUGAUUUUUCAAGUCUCACGAUCAUCAUCUAUAGUCCAUUGAAAAUAUUUUAAGUCUCUCAAGUAUCUAUAUACCAUCUAUUUUCUUCUAUAUUUCAUGUAAGUCUUUCUAUACAUCCUUCUCUAUUUUAUCCCUUGUUUCACCUUGUGAAUCCUAAUUCUAUGUCAUUUUCAUUUUCCCUUGGGUUGUCUCCGUUAACCGUCGGAUCGUCGAAUCGAACCUUUGGAGCGUGAGAUAUCGUAUAUGCACUGUAGCUGCGAAUUUAAGAUAGUAUAGUGAUUGGAAGAAAGCACUUGAGGUACUCAAGGAGAAAGCUUUGAUUGAAUGUGAUGUGAUGCUUGAAGCGCGUACGAACAGGGGAAAAAUUGGGUUUUGUAAAUUGAGAAUUUUAUGUAAAUAGUUCUUUGUUGUAUUUUCUUCCGCUGGAAAUUUUAAACUAUUACUCAUUUUAAUUAAGUUUAUAUUUUAAUUGAA